rnacentral:rRNA from 1 species
GUCUACUGCCAUGCCACCCUGAACACGCCCAAUCCCGUCUGAUCUCGGAAGCUAAGCAGGGUCAGGCCUGGUUAGUACUUAUGAUGGAAGACCAGGUGCUGUAGGUA